GUGUCUCCAAGCUGAACCUCUGCAUCAUAGAACACGCCUCCUCCAUGAGCAACAAUUAGCCAACACCUGGUGAAACUGCACGUCUGCUGCGCUUGUUACUAUGUCUCAGUCCAGUCCUUUUCCGAUUAAAAAAUGCCUUUGAGGAAAUGUUUUUUCAGAUGUGAAGGAGACUACCCUCUUUUUAAGCUUCACAAAGAUGACGCAAUUCUUAAAAAAUGGUUGGACUUCAAUUUUGGAAGUAACCCUCCAACGAAAAAAAAGUUAUAUUUGUGCGAGCCACUUUAUGGAUGACAGCUUUCCGAACAAAAGGGAAUUUAACAGUGGACUAAUAAGAUUUUCACUAAAACAUUAUCGAUGCAAUUCCAACACUCAGGACACAAACACGUUGUCGUCUGUCCAGAUGUAGAGGUGUCAGAGGUCAUGCAGCCGAGCUGUCAGAGAGCAGAAUCAAGACUGAUUUGAGGAAAAGAGCAGCAAGAUGAUGAACGUGUGGCCUCAAGAGGACAUGCUGCAGGAGCUUCAGCUGCAGCAGAUGAUUCUGCAACAAUGACUUCCUAAUUGAAAGCACACGCUGAUGCAGCACCACUCCACCUUUGUUGUCAGCAUGAAAUUACAAAGGUGGGAGAUGGAAGCACAUGGAGGACAAAAUCUGUUUGCAAGAUCCGUAUUUUAUUCUGGUCUUCUUUUGACGYUUCGACGUAGCACAACCUCAGGAAGAAAAAGCUGAAUAAAUCUUUUUUUUUCUCACAAUGAGGUCAAACGAGGUCGUUUGAGAAACAUAACAAAAAAAAGGACUUCGACUUGCUCACCCGAACACAACAACAACUCCAUAGAGUUUCUACUAUUGCAUCUCUUUGUUGCUGAUGUAUUAUUGGAUUAUAGAUUGUUGCUUCCCACUGUGUGUGCAUGUCAUUUUAAUUUCACAUUUAAACUAUUUGGGGUUUUCAA